rnacentral:rRNA from 1 species
GACAGAGGGUGCAAACGUUGCUCGGAAUUACUGGGCGUAAAGCGCGUGUAGGCGGAUUGGUGUGUCAGAUGUGAAAUCCCUGGGCUCAACCCAGGAACUGCACCUGAAACUACCAGUCUUGAGUGGUGGAGAGGGAAGUGGAAUUCCUGGUGUAGAGGUGAAAUUCGUAGAUAUCAGGAGGAACACCAGUGGCGAAGGCGGCUUCCUGGACACCAACUGACGCUGAGACGCGAAAGCGUGGGGAGCAAACAGG